GCGUGGCUCACGUGUUGGGAGGUCGUUGUCUGCGUGGCUCACGUGUUGGGAAGUUGCAGUGGUCUGUGUGGCUUGCGUGUUGGAAGGUUGCAGUCUGUGUGGCCCGUGUGUUGGGAGGUUGUGGCUGCGUGGCUUGUGUGUUGGGAGGUUGUGGUUCACGUGGCUUGCAUGUUGGGAAGUUGCUGUGGUCUGCGUGGCUUAUGUGUUGGGAGGUUGUGGUUUGUGUGGCUUGUGUGUUGGGAGGUUGCAGUCUGCGUGGCUCGUGUGUUGGGAAGUUGCUGUGGUCUCUGUGGCUUAUGUGUUGGGAAGUUGCUGUGGUUUGCGUGGCUCGUGUGUUGGGAGGUUGCAGUUUGCGUGGCUUGCGUGUUGGGAAGUUGCUGUGGUCUGUGUGGCUUAUGUGUUGGGAGGUUGUGGGUUUGUGUGGCUCACGUGUUGGGAGGUUGUGGUCUGCGUGGCGCACGUGUGGGGCGGUUGCGGUCUGCGUGGCUCACGUGUGGGGCGGUUGUGGUCUGCGUGGCUCACGUGUUGGGCGGUUGUCUGCUUGGCUCACGUGUUGGGAAGUUGUGGUCUGCUUGGCUCAUGUGUUGGGAAGUUGUUUAUGUGGCUUGUGUGCUGGAGGUUGUGGUCUGCGUGGCUCAUGUGUUGGGCGGUUGUCUGCUUGGCUCACGUGUUGGGAAGUUGUGGUCUGCGUGGCUUAUGUGUUGGGAAGUUGUUUAUGUGGCUUGUGUGCUGGAGGUUGUGGUCUGCGUGGCUUGCACUGUAGUUCUUUUGGACAGCCUUGUUCUGCAGUCUGUGCUUCAGCCCUGGAAUUGCCACAUUCUCCAAGAAGCCCUGGUUUCUUGACUAGAGAGCCUUGUUUAGAAGCCAGGACCUGGGUUCUGGGUGAAGCCCUCUGCAGAUAGAGCUGGGAGAUGGCUG
rnacentral:lncRNA from 1 species